rnacentral:rRNA from 1 species
UACGUAGGGUGCAAGCGUUGUCCGGAAUUAUUGGGCGUAAAGAGCUCGUAGGCGGUCUGUUGCGUCGGCUGUGAAAACCCGCGGCUCAACUGUGGGCGGGCAGCUGAUACGGGCAGGCUGGAGUUCGGUAGGGGAGACUGGAAUUCCUGGUGUAGCGGUGAAAUGCGCAGAUAUCAGGAGGAACACCGGUGGCGAAGGCGGGUCUCUGGGCCGAUACUGACGCUGAGGAGCGAAAGCGUGGGGAGCGAACAGG